rnacentral:ncRNA from 1 species
UGGCAAACCUAUUGAAAAGUAGGGACGCAAAGCCACAGGUCUAACGUAAUUUCUUACUAAGAUGGCUGGGUUGC